rnacentral:rRNA from 1 species
CCUACGGGUGGCAGCAGUAAGGGAUAUUGGUCAAUGGGGGAAACCCUGAACCAGCAACGCCGCGUGAGGGAAGACGGUUUUCGGAUUGUAAACCUCUGUCCUCUGUGAAGUAGAUGACGGUAGCUGAGUAGGAAUGUCCGGCUAACUACGUGCCAGCAGCCGCGGUAAUACGUAGGGAGCGACCGUUGUCCGGAUUUACUGGGUGUAAAGGGUGCGUAGGCGGCUUGGCAAGUCAGUAGUGAAAUCCAUGGGCGUAACCCGUGAACUGCUAUUGAAACUGUCGUGCUUGAGUGAAGUAGAGGUAGGCGGAAUGCCCGGUGUAGCGGUGAAAUGCGUAGAGAUCAGGAGGAACACCAGUGGCGAAGGCGGCCUACUGGGCUUUAACUGACGCUGAGGCGCGAAAGCGUGGGUAGCAAACAGGAUUAGAUACCCGGGUAGUC